rnacentral:tRNA from 1 species
GGGGCCGUAGUUCAGAUGGGAGAACGCUUGACUGGCAGUCAAGAGGUCAGGGGUUCGAUCCCCCUCGGCUCCA